rnacentral:rRNA from 1 species
AUCUACGGCCAUGCCACCUGAACGAGCCCCAUCCCAUCUGAUCUUGUGAAGCUAAGCAGGGUUGGGCCUGGUUAGUACUUAGAUGGGAGACCACCUAGGAAGACCAGGUGCUAUAGGCA